rnacentral:rRNA from 1 species
UACGAAGAGGGCUAGCGUUGUUCGGAAUCACUGGGCGUAAAGCGCACGCAGGCGGAUCGAUAAGUCGGGGGUGAAAGCCCGGGGCUCAACCUCGGAAUUGCCUUCGAUACUGUCGGUCUCGAGUCCGGGAGAGGUGAGUGGAAUUCCUAGUGUAGAGGUGAAAUUCGUAGAUAUUAGGAAGAACACCAGUGGCGAAGGUGGCUCACGGGCCCGGUACUGACGCCCAGGUGCGAAAGCGUGGGGAGCAAACAGG